AGUAUAUAUUUAUUGGCUGCCCUUUAAAAAGCAUUUUUUUAAAAAGAAAUAUUUAGUGUCAUUCUGUGUUUGGGUGUCUGCAUGUAUGUGUGUGCAACGCCUGUGGAGAUCAGAGAAAGGGCUCCGAUCUCCUGGACCUGGAGUUGUAGAAGCCACUGCCUGGGUGCUGGGAACCAAUCCUGGGUUGUCUGCAAGAGAAGCCCGUCCUCUUAACUGCUGAGCCAUCUCUGCAGCCGCUAUUAAAAGUAUUUGUGACUUGCUGCCUGGGGUUGGUUUAUCCAAUCGUAACUCAGACCGAUAGUGUCGAUUAUAUACAUAUAUAAAUAUACGAAUAUUCUCCACCCAUUCUAGUCAAGGUUCAGCCGAGUUCAGUUCCUCAGCUUGGAUGAGAUCUCAUAGCUAAGGAUCUCAAAAUACAUCUGGCUCGCUGACCUCAGAGUAAAUGAUGUAAUUUUUGCCAAAUGUCCACACCCAGACUUGCUACAUAAAUAUAGACGGCUAUAUUUGCCCCAUUCUUCAAACACUUCAGAAAUUUUUAUUUCUCGUAUAAAUGACAGUUUGGCCCAAGCUGUAAAUUCUGGUUCCUUCAUCCAGUUACCUGACCACAACCCAGUAAAAGAAAACUCGACAAGCCUACUUUCUCUCAUUGGUUUGAGCCAUGAGCUUGUCCUUGUGGGUCUGAGUUUCCCUGUGACGAGUCUUACAGCAGACAGAGUACCACCUAUAAUACCAAACUCUUCUUCACUGUACUGCUGUCAAUCAGGGUCAACAGUGAGUUGCUAAUGGCAACAGACAAGCCAGCUUUGACCACAUCUUCUUUCUGCUUUGUUGCUUGGUUUUCAACCUAGUUUCACUUUGCCACGCCAGCAGACCUUCCUCAGGAGGCUGAUCAUGGCGCCGUGCAUCUGUACUGCUGGCAUGGACUUACAGUCGCUGUCUCUUUUUCACAAGUUCAGUGAAAAAGUAGAGUCAGGGAGAGUGAAUCAGUUGACCACGACAUGAAUUUACCAGACUUUCUUAGCAUUGUGUCCUGUUGUAACAGCUGUCGGCCUACCCCGUUGCCAGCUUCCAAACAAGCAGAUACAUUUAAGGGGAAAAUGUAUCCAAGAUCUUGAAGGCAGAUGGCAGUUCCUGCUUUCCUUUGAACCCGGAUGCGGAUGCGGUGGGAUAUUUGAUGGACAGAGAGCUUAGCGGCGAGAUCUCCUUGGAAACGACCAAUCACAUACAUCUGCAACCGGCCCUCCUCAAAAUGUUUUUCAGCAAGCAGCAAAGUCCCAUUUGGGGCUGGGGCUUGGGGGCAGUGGUAGAAUGCUUGCCUAGCAGGGGUGAGGCCCCAGCUUUAAAUAACCCUUGGUUUUCCUGUCAUUUCCAUCUGCAAAUCCCAAGCUCUCUACAGGGGUUGUUUUUCUUACCGCUGUGACAAGAGACUUGACAGAAGCUGAAGGAAAGAAGGGCUACCUACCCCGGAAACUUCCUGCAGGCCUCUUGUCUCCCACCUCACCCUAUGGGUGCUGGGAUUACAGACUACCACAAAUAGGAGACAACACAGGUGCCUCCCACUCUCUCGAAAGAAAUUAAAAGAGAGACUGAGAAAGAAGGUGGACUGGUAGGAAGGACAAUUGUUCCUUCUGCAGCUGAAAACAGUCAAGUUUACGUGUGUGGAUAUUUGUGCACGUAUGUCCGUGUACAUGGUCCCUCAGGAGACCAGAAGAGGGAGUCCCAGAUCCCCUGGAAAUGGAGUUACAGAUGGCUUUGAGCUGCCAUGUACAUAAACCAUACUCGUGAAACUCAAGAGAGAUGGCUCAGUGGUUAAGAGCACUGGCUGCUCUUCCAGAGGUCCUGAGUUCAAUUCCCAGCAACCACAUGGUGCUCACAACCAUCUGUUAUGGAAUCUGAUGCCCUCUUCUGGUCUGUCUGAAGACAGCGACAGUGUACUUAUAUAAUAAAUAAAUAAAUCUUUAAAAA